rnacentral:rRNA from 1 species
GAUGAACGCUGGCGGCGUGCUUAACACAUGCAAGUCGAACGGAAAGGCCAGUGCUUGCCCUGGUACUCGAGUGGCGAACGGGUGAGUAACACGUGGGUGAUCUGCCCUGCACUUCGGGAUAAGCCUGGGAAACUGGGUCUAAUACCGGAUAGGACAAUGGUUUGGAUGCCGUUGUGGAAAGUUUUUUCGGUGUGGGAUGAGCUCGCGGCCUAUCAGCUUGUUGGUGGGGUAAUGGCCUACCAAGGCGUCGACGGGUAGCCGGCCUGAGAGGGUGUACGGCCACAUUGGGACUGAGAUACGGCCCAGACUCCUACGGGAGGCAGCAGUGGGGAAUAUUGCACAAUGGGCGCAAGCCUGAUGCAGCGACGCCGCGUGGGGGAUGACGGCCUUCGGGUUGUAAACUCCUUUCGCUAGGGACGAAGCGUAUUUGUGACGGUACCUGGAGAAGAAGCACCGGCUAAGUACGUG